GAUGAACGCUGGCGGCGUGCCUAAUACAUGCAAGUCGAGCGAACAGAUGAGGAGCUUGCUCCUCUGACGUUAGCGGCGGACGGGUGAGUAACACGUGGAUAACCUACCUAUAAGACUGGGAUAACUUCGGGAAACCGGAGCUAAUACCGGAUAAUAUAUUGAACCGCAUGGUUCAAUAGUGAAAGACGGUUUUGCUGUCACGUAUAGAUGGAUCCGCGCCGCAUUAGCUAGUUGGUAAGGUAACGGCUUACCAAGGCAACGAGGCGUAGCCGACCUGAGAGGGUGAUCGGCCACACUGGAACUGAGACACGGUCCAGACUCCUACGGGAGGCAGCAGUAGGGAAUCUUCCGCAAUGGGCGAAAGCCUGACGGAGCAACGCCGCGUGAGUGAUGAAGGUCUUCGGAUCGUAAAACUCUGUUAUUAGGGAAGAACAAAUGUGUAAGUAACUAUGCACGUCUUGACGGUACCUAAUCAGAAAGCCACGGCUAACUACGUG
rnacentral:rRNA from 1 species